CAAAAAAAAAAAAAAAAGGGGCCAACAUCCUAGCCUUCAACCAUUUACAACCAAGAUUAAGCCUGACCAUCACGCCAUUACCAGCCUAUUAACAAAGGAGCAAUACAAAGACCAUCAUUUCAUAUUUCCUCUUUCCCAAUACCACUAUGUUCAUUUUCACUUCUAUAUUACACAAGUACAAGCCCAAAAAUCAAAACUGAACCCUAUAAUCAAGUCUAUAAUUAACCCAAGGUUUGUCACAAUAACAGAGAAUACAAGCAGCAAAUAUACAACUCAACUUUCAAGCUCAACUUUUCAAUCAGCAACAAUACAUAAUCAAAAACAGUCCAACACAGAAUUAGAAAUAUUAAGAAGAAAGGUUUGACAGUAGUGCUUUUGGGAUUUUCAAAUUUUAUAGGUUUUUAAAUUUCAAGGUUUUUGAGUUUAGCUUGAGAAUUUCAUAAAAGGAAAGAAGAAAAGCAAAAUUGGUGGUUGGUGGCGCCAAAGGCCACUUACGGUUGCUGUGAUCCAUAUAGAUUAGAGAGCUUUCGAGGGCAAGGAAGAAUGGGGCUAACAACGAUUUCCAGUGGCUUCAUUCUAACCUUAAACAGAGGUGGAAGGCAGAGGUGCUCAUGCCCUGAACUGUUCGAUGGCGAUCUGAUUAGGUGGCUAGCCUUGUAAGAGGGAUGGUGUUGCUGAUUCUGUAAAAAUAGAGGAAGAAAAGUGCUUUUAAGUGAAGAACGGAGGCGACGGUGAUGAAAAGCCACUGAAUUUUGGACAAAAGAGAUCGUCGACUGGGAGUCUAAGAAGGAAGAAAAAAGCUAGAAGGACUGAGAAAUUGAGAAAGAAGAGAAG
rnacentral:lncRNA from 1 species